GAUGAACGCUGGCGGCGUGCCUAAUACAUGCAAGUCGAGCGAACGGACGAGAAGCUUGCUUCUCUGAUGUUAGCGGCGGACGGGUGAGUAACACGUGGAUAACCUACCUAUAAGACUGGGAUAACUUCGGGAAACCGGAGCUAAUACCGGAUAAUAUUUUGAACCGCAUGGUUCAAAAGUGAAAGACGGUCUUGCUGUCACUUAUAGAUGGAUCCGCGCUGCAUUAGCUAGUUGGUAAGGUAACGGCUUACCAAGGCAACGAUGCAUAGCCGACCUGAGAGGGUGAUCGGCCACACUGGAACUGAGGCACGGUCCAGACUCCUACGGGAGGCAGCAGUAGGGAAUCUUCCGCAAUGGGCGAAAGCCUGACGGAGCAACGCCGCGUGAGUGAUGAAGGUCUUCGGAUCGUAAAACUCUGUUAUUAGGGAAGAACAUAUGUGUAAGUAACUGUUCACAUCUUGACGGUACCUAAUCAGAAAGCCACGGCUAACUACGUG
rnacentral:rRNA from 1 species